CAGCAGCCGCGGUAAUACGUAGGGUGCAAGCGUUAAUCGGAAUUACUGGGCGUAAAGCGUGCGCAGGCGGUCCGCUAAGACAGAUGUGAAAUCCCCGGGCUUAACCUGGGAACUGCAUUUGUGACUGGCGGGCUAGAGUAUGGCAGAGGGGGGUAGAAUUCCACGUGUAGCAGUGAAAUGCGUAGAGAUGUGGAGGAAUACCGAUGGCGAAGGCAGCCCCCUGGGCCAAUACUGACGCUCAUGCACGAAAGCGUGGGGAGCAAACAGGAUUAGAUACCCGAGUAGUCCCUGUCUCUUAUAA
rnacentral:rRNA from 1 species